UAGGGAAUCUUCGGCAAUGGGGGGAACCCUGACCGAGCAACGCCGCGUGAGUGAAGAAGGUUUUCGGAUCGUAAAGCUCUGUUGUUAAGGAAGAACGAGUGUGAGAAUGGAAAGUUCAUACUGUGACGGUACUUAACCAGAAAGGGACGGCUAACAACGUGCCAGCAGCCGCGGUAAUACGUAGGUCCCGAGCGUUGUCCGGAUUUAUUGGGCGUAAAGCGAGCGCAGGCGGUUAGAUAAGUCUGAAGUUAAAGGCAGUGGCUCAACCAUUGUAGGCUUUGGAAACUGUUUAACUUGAGUGCAGAAGGGGAGAGUGGAAUUCCAUGUGUAGCGGUGAAAUGCGUAGAUAUAUGGAGGAACACCGGUGGCGAAAGCGGCUCUCUGGUCUGUAACUGACGCUGAGGCUCGAAAGCGUGGGGAGCGAACAGG
rnacentral:rRNA from 1 species